UUUACAUCCUCAUCCUGUUCACAAUGAGGUGCCUUAUAGUCUUGAAUUUUGCAAGUGCAAUACUUGAUAGGAUCUGCACGUAAGCCCAAUAAUAAUUCUAACCACCUUUUUUGACACUCAAACAUAGGCGAUGGGUUUAUUCCCUGCAACCAAUGAAACUAUCUUUCAAAUUUAGUUAUAAUAUAACUCUAUUUAAUGAACUAACUCUGUUUUCACUAAUUAAGCAGGUGAAUAGUCCCUCAUAAUACAAUGAAUAUUUAUUUAGUAACGGAUAUCAGAGACUCAAUAAUAUAUAUCCACACAUAUUGUACUAUGUUCACUUCAGAUAUGAAACACGAAAGUUUAAUGUAUAUAUAUCUAUCUAUCAAUCUUAUAAACUAAUUAUGGCUUAACUUUAGAGUGUCUUGUGCUAUUAACCUCUGGCUUUCAUUUUCUGAAUAGGUUAGGUGAUCAACAAGUUGGCAGGAAAAAAUGCAUGGUUACCACAGAAGUACUAUAAGCAAAUUAGAAUAACUCAUAUUCAUGACUACUAUAACCACAACAAGUUAAUCAAAUCACAAAUUUAGAAAACAUAGGAAUCAAUUCAAUUCACAACGAUAAAUUCAUGAAAUUUUAAAGAAAACAUUGCAACAAUAAAUUCAUGAAAAAGAUCGCAAUAUUGGUGAUUCAAACGAUCACCACUGCCUAAUCCCAUCAUCAGAUCAGCACAUUUGCAUUAGAUCACGUUAAUCUACCCAAAGUUGCAACUCAAAUGCAAAUGUAGACAUUACCAUGAGUGCUGAUGCUACUCACAAAGCUAUCAACUGUAGAUCUUGAAGUAACACAGCAGCCAAUAAACCUUAAACUGAUGCAGCAUCCACUCUCCUUCACUGCAUCUUCACCAUCAUCUAUUUUCUUCUUCCUCCCCUUGGAUUUCAACCACCAAGCAAUCUGACAAAAUCAAUUCAAACACUAAAAUUUAGCAAAAAGUCGAAAGACUACAUCUCUAUCACCAAAUAGAAUGCAGAAUCAAGAGAUAGAUGACUGUAACAAUAAAAAAUAAGACAAAAAUUGUUAGAAAUUUAAAUACACUGUUUAUGCAGAACAAGCAGAAGACUAACUACAGAAAGUUCUUAACCAGUGUCGGCAGCUCAGUGCAUAGAACAAGGCAUGAAGCAUAAUUAAUCAAUCCACCCCAAACGACUAAAAGUUCAAGUAGAAAAUAGAUCAAGUAGGACAUAGAAAAUAUAACAAGCCAAGUGGAGAAGGAAAAGUGACUAAAAGUUUAACUUCAUCCUAAUAAGAGAACAUAGUUCAAGUAGGACACAUCUAACCUGUGACUGCACUUUCUUUCUCAACUCAGCGAUUUCUCGGCGUGCUCCAGCGACAUUUCCGGCGAGCUUCAGCGCCUCGCGAAUCUCCCUGAUCCCGCUCUCAAUGGGGGCACAAGCUCCGACCACGAACCCGAGACUUGUUCCGGUUUUCUACAGAGAGAAACGUUUUCUACGGAAAUUAUCGAGAGCAAUAUAUCUGAAAGAAGAGAGAGCAAGAGCAAGGAAACUAACGGUUGGAAUCAAAGGCUUCGGGAGUUUCAACCACACUCAGAGCUCCGGCAACGAUGACGGCGAGGUGAGGCGACGAUAGCUCUGAAAAAUGAAAAUAUACAAAUCUUGAGAGAGAGAGAGAGAACCGCUCGAUCGGGAUGAAGUCGAGGGAGGGAGAGGCGAGCGGCGUAGAUCGACUCCGGCAGGGCGAGCGGCGGCAGCGGAAUUUAGGAAUUUAGGGCAAUUGAAUUUGGGGAAAUUAUGGGGAAGAGAUAGUAUUAUUUAGUAAUUAUUAAUAUUCUUG
rnacentral:lncRNA from 1 species